UUUUAACCCUCAUUUAUCUGACUCUAAAGCACACACUUAUUUCAGUUCCCCAUUUGGUUCUCAGAAUCCUGUUCUCAAGAGAUGGGGCAGAGGAUGGGGAAAUGGGAUGGAAAUGGUGGGAACGGCCUGUGUGUAGUUCAGCAGGACUGUGUCUGGUUUUCUGAGCCAUUGAAGUUUCCCAAGGAGGAUCACGCAGCCUCUAUUUUCCCUAAAGGCUAAGGUCCAGGCUAGCUUUAGGUGAGUUUUCCCAUUUCCUUGGAUUUCAUUGAACAAACAUUAAAAAAGAAAUUCCCCCUACAGUGGCCAUGGGUGCAGUGUCUGCCAUGCAGAGGAGAAGCCGCUGGUUGUAGCAGCAACACUCCAGCUUACCUGGAGCAAAGUGCAUAAAGGAAAGGCCAUGUGAGGACACAGCAAGAAGGCGGCCCUCUGCAACCUGACCAGCAAGAUCUCACCAGAAACCACCCCUGCUUGCACUGUGAUCUUGGAAUUCUAGCCUCUAGAACUGUGAAACAAUAAACUGUUGUUUAAGCCACUUGGCCUGUGGUAUUUUGUUACAGCAGCCUGAACUGACUAAUACAAUCACUAAAUUAUCAAAAAGUGGAAUUAAAAGUGUUAUAUCUGUUUCACUCAAGAUAUGAGUAGGAAACAGAGAAGAGUUAGACAAAAAAAAAACAAAAAACAGAUAAACAGAAAUUUAGUAAAUAUUUGCUGAGUAAUGAAUUUAGACAUUUUGCUUUUUGAUAUGCUUUCAAGAACUUCAAUGAGGUAUAACUGACAUUCAAUAAACCACAAUUAUUAAAAUGUACAAUUUGAUGUGCUUUGCCAUAUGAAACCAUCAUCAAAAAUCAAGAUCAUAAACACAACUAUCACCUUCCAAAUCUCCUUGGAUACCUAUAAUUCCUCCGUCUGCCCCUUCCUAAUCUGCCCCCUGCCAUCCUACAAGAGGAAACCUCUGAUCUGUUUUCUGGCACUAUAGAUCUGUAGGUUAAUGAUAAUUUUCUAGAAUUUUAUAUAAAUAGAAUCAUAUGGGAUGUAAUCUUUUUUUGAUUUUUUUCCACUCACCAUCAUUAUUCUGAGAUUCAUCCAUGUUGUUGCUUAUAUCAGUGUUUUAUUCCUUUUGAUUACUGAGUGAUAUUCUGUUGUGUAUACUGUCAUUCGUUUAUUCAUUUAUAUGUUGAUGGACUUUUGGCUUGUUUCCAGUUUUAGGCUAUUACCAAAUAAAGUGCAAAUCUUUCUAUGGAUAGUUUCAUUUUUAUUGGAUCAACUAGGAGGUGUAUAUUUAACUGUUAAACUGCCAAUUUUUUUCCAAAGUGGCUGUACCAUUUCACCUCCUGCCAGCAGUGCAUGAGAGUCCUAGUUCCUCCAAAUCCUAGCCAACACCUGACGGUCAUUUUAAUCUGAGCCAUU
rnacentral:lncRNA from 1 species